rnacentral:rRNA from 1 species
GACGGAGGAUGCAAGUGUUAUCCGGAAUCACUGGGCGUAAAGCGUCUGUAGGUGGUUUAAAAAGUCUAUUGUUAAAAAUUGAAGCUUAACUUCAAAGAUGCAAUGGAAACUUUUAAACUUGAGUAUGGUAGGGGUAGAGGGAAUUUCCGGUGGAGCGGUGAAAUGCGUAGAGAUCGGAAAGAACACCAACGGCGAAAGCACUCUGCUGGCCGACACUGACACUGAGAGACGAAAGCUAGGGGAGUGAAUGGG